GCGUGCUAAUCUGCGAUAAGCGCCGGUAAGGUGAUAUGAACCGUUAUAACCGGCGAUACCCGAAUGGGGAAACCCAGUGUGACUCGUCACACUAUCAUUAACUGAAUCCAUAGGUUAAUGAGGCGAACCGGGGGAACUGAAACAUCUAAGUACCCCGAGGAAAAGAAAUCAACCGAGAUUCCCCCAGUAGCGGCGAGCGAACGGGGAGGAGCCCAGAGCCUGAAUCAGCAUGUGUGUUAGUGGAAGCGUCUGGAAAGGCGCGCGAUACAGGGUGACAGCCCCGUACACAAAAGCGCAUGUGCUGUGAGCUCGAUGAGUAGGGCGGGACACGUGGUAUCCUGUCUGAAUAUGGGGGGACCAUCCUCCAAGGCUAAAUACUCCUGACUGACCGAUAGUGAACCAGUACCGUGAGGGAAAGGCGAAAAGAACCCCGGCGAGGGGAGUGAAAAAGAACCUGAAACCGU
rnacentral:rRNA from 1 species